GAGCUAAUACCGGAUAAUAUUUUGAACCGCAUGGUUCAAAAGUGAAAGACGGUCUUGCUGUCACUUAUAGAUGGAUCCGCGCUGCAUUAGCUAGUUGGUAAGGUAACGGCUUACCAAGGCAACGAUGCAUAGCCGACCUGAGAGGGUGAUCGGCCACACUGGAACUGAGACACGGUCCAGACUCCUACGGGAGGCAGCAGUAGGGAAUCUUCCGCAAUGGGCGAAAGCCUGACGGAGCAACGCCGCGUGAGUGAUGAAGGUCUUCGGAUCGUAAAACUCUGUUAUUAGGGAAGAACAUAUGUGUAAGUAACUGUGCACAUCUUGACGGUACCUAAUCAGAAAGCCACGGCUAACUACGUGCCAGCAGCCGCGGUAAUACGUAGGUGGCAAGCGUUAUCCGGAAUUAUUGGGCGUAAAGCGCGCGUAGGCGGUUUUUUAAGUCUGAUGUGAAAGCCCACGGCUCAACCGUGGAGGGUCAUUGGAAACUGGAAAACUUGAGUGCAGAAGAGGAAAGUGGAAUUCCAUGUGUAGCGGUGAAAUGCGCAGAGAUAUGGAGGAACACCAGUGGCGAAGGCGACUUUCUGGUCUGUAACUGACGCUGAUGUGCGAAAGCGUGGGGAUCAAACAGGAUUAGAUACCCUGGUAGUCCACGCCGUAAACGAUGAGUGCUAAGUGUUAGGGGGUUUCCGCCCCUUAGUGCUGCAGCUAACGCAUUAAGCACUCCGCCUGGGGAGUACGACCGCAAGGUUGAAACUCAAAGGAAUUGACGGGGACCCGCACAAGCGGUGGAGCAUGUGGUUUAAUUCGAAGCAACGCGAAGAACCUUACCAAAUCUUGACAUCCUUUGACAACUCUAGAGAUAGAGCCUUCCCCUUCGGGGGACAAAGUGACAGGUGGUGCAUGGUUGUCGUCAGCUCGUGUCGUGAGAUGUUGGGUUAAGUCCCGCAACGAGCGCAACCCUUAAGCUUAGUUGCCAUCAUUAAGUUGGGCACUCUAAGUUGACUGCCGGUGACAAACCGGAGGAAGGUGGGGAUGACGUCAAAUCAUCAUGCCCCUUAUGAUUUGGGCUACACACGUGCUACAAUGGACAAUACAAAGGGCAGCGAAACCGCGAGGUCAAGCAAAUCCCAUAAAGUUGUUCUCAGUUCGGAUUGUAGUCUGCAACUCGACUACAUGAAGCUGGAAUCGCUAGUAAUCGUAGAUCAGCAUGCUACGGUGAAUACGUUCCCGGGUCUUGUACACACCGCCCGUCACACCACGAGAGUUUGUAACACCCGAAGCCGGUGGAGUAACCUUUUAGGAGCUAGCCGUCGAAGGUGGGACAAAUGAUUGGGGUGAAGUCGUAACAAGGUAGCCGUAUCGGAAGGUGCGGCUGGAUCACCUCCUUU
rnacentral:rRNA from 1 species